ensembl:lncRNA
CAAAGGGUGCAUCAUGAAUAAAGUCCAGUCAGUUGAAUUUAUCUCUGUUAGGUGGAAUCAUAAAAGAAAAAUAUCAGGAAAAGCACGUUGAGGCCAGAGCGCAUGGAAAACCCUCCAGAGGAUGGGAGGUGUGGAACCCAGAGAGCCGGAGAAGGAGUAUUUGGGACAGGAGACCAGACAAGAUUUAUUGCCUCUUCUGACACUGACCUUGUAGGUGGAAAAGUCAUCAUUGUGCACAUGAGUCAUCAUUACUCCUCAGAGCUGCAGAAAUGCUGGCCAGUGGAAUUUUUUUGCUGUGGAGAGAAGGUUGGAUAAGUCACUUUUUAACUGUAACUUCUCAGUAUAGGACAUCAAUCGUCCAACUUUAUGUUUGAGGAAGUUAUAAGGUUAAAGGGAAGAAAUCUUAUGGGCCAGGGUGGGGAGAUAAGGCUGAAUAUGGACAGGGGGUUAGUGGGGAAUAAGCCCUGUUGAUGUCCUCUCUUCAAAAGGGAGCAGUAGGGCCUAAGACCCUAGUCACUUAGCCUUGUAGUCAACUCCUGAGGAAGACCUCAGCUGAUUCUGGGUAGGACAAACUGCUUAACUUCCUCAGGAAUUAAUAGAUUUCUAUUCCACUUAGGGAGAAUUCUAAGUUUUUUGAAUUCAGAAGGCAAAUCCAUACUAGAUAUCCAUUAUGGUGAAGGUUUUUCAGGAAUUGGUCCCCUAAUAAGCUGGAAACUGAAAGAGACUAGGCUUGGGGUGUCAGUCAUCCUUCUAAAUCAGGCCCCUCAGUGGCCAUCUGGUCUAAUCCCCUUUUUUACAGUUGAGGAAACUGAGGCCCAAAGUCACAUAGGUAGUAAGUGUCAGAGAUGGCAUUUGAACGUAUGUGCUCUGACUCCAGAGCUAGCUCUACCAAGCUGCCUCCUGUAUCUGCCUUCCUUUUACUCCGAAGACUCUCCUGAUUCUUUUGACUCCCCUGGGCCUUAGGGACACUUGAGGGUGGCUUCUUGGCAAACUCUUUAGUGCGGUAAAUUUGACUAUGGUGUUGGACAAAGGCCUGGGACACCUAAGACUUGAUGCCCACCCCCAUCUCCCAUUCCACAAAGUGAGCUUUAUGUGGUUGUGCCAUUGAGAGGGGCAGAGGAGGGGCUACUAUCUACCUGAGGGAAGUGGGGUGGGGCAGAUGUUGAUAACUUAGAGUGGAAAUGUUAACAGUCUUGGGAAAGUGCCCAGACCUGUUGGAAGGAGGGAGAGAGGGAGGGAGAGACCUUAUCAUGGAUUCAGUGAGGCUGCUGGUAACAGAUUUAGGAGUCAUUUAGGAAUAGCUCGGGCACCUAGAUGGUACAUUGGAUAGAGUGCUGGGCCUGAAAUCAGGAAGAUUCAUUUUCCUGAGUUCAAAUCUGGCCUCAGACAUUUACUAGCUGUGUGACCCUGGGCACGUCACUUAACCCUAUUUGCCUCAGUUUCCUCAUAACAUUCCUUAGGGCUAUGAAGUGAAGGUGAUAGAUUUAAGGGAUUAGAUCUAGUAGAUAGAGUGGUUGAGGGACUACAGACAGAGGUUCACAAUACUGUACAGUAGGUAGCAACAACAACAACAAAAACAUUCCAAAGAAUAAGAGCAAGAAAGCAAAACGGUUGUCUGAUGAGGUUUUACAAAUAGCUGAGGAAAGAAAGAAAAAAAGAAAGAAAAAAGAGGAAAGAUGUAUACAACUAAAUUCAGAAUGCCAAAGAGUAGCAAGGAGAGAGAAAAUAGUUUUCUUAAAUGAGCAAGGCAAAGAAAACAAUAGAAUGGGAAAGACAAGAGAUCUCUUCAAGAAAAUUUGAGAUAUCAAGGGAAAGUUUCAUGCAAAAAUAGGCAUGAUAAAAGGCAAAAAUGGUAGGGAUUUAACAGAAGCAGAAGAGAUUAGGAAGAGGUGGCAAGAAUACACAAAAGAACUACAUAAGAGGGGCAGCUAAGUAGAGCAGUGAAUAGAGCACCAGCCCUGGAGUCAGGAGGACCCGAGUUCAAAUCCGGCCUCAGACACAUAACACUCGCUAGCUGUGUGACUCUGGGCAAGUCACUUAACCUCAUUGCCUCACUCCACCCCCCUAAAAAAAAAAGAACUACACAAGAAAGAUCUUGACAUCAUUGAUAACCAGGAUGGUGUAGUUACUUGUCUAGGGCCAGAUAUCCUAGAGAAAGAAGUCAAGUGGGCCCUAGGAAGCAUUGCUAGCAACAAGGCUAGUGGAGGUGUUGGAAUUCCAGCUGAGCUAUUUAAAAUCCUAAAAGAUGAUACUGUUAAAGUACUUCACUCACUAUGCCAGCAAAUUUGGAAAACUUAACAGUGGCCAUUGGAUUGCAAAAUAUAAAUUUAUAUACCAAUCCUAAAGAAGAACAAUGCUAAGCAAUAUUCAAAUUACUUAACAAUUGCGCUCAUUUCAGAUGCCAGCAAAGUUAUCCUUAAGAUCCCUGCAAGCUAGGCUUCAGUAGUGUAUGAACUGAGAAGUACCAGAAGAGCAGGCUGGUUUUUGAAGAGGCAGAGGAACUAGAGACCAAAUUGACAAUCUUAGCUGCAUUAUGGAGAAAGCAAAGCAGUUCCAGAAAGAAAAAAAAAGCAUCUACUUCUGUUUCAUUGACUACACUAAUACCUUUGACUAUGUGGAUCACAACUAAAUGUGGCAAGUCCUCACAGAAAUGGGAGUACCAGAUCAUCUUACUUGUCUCCUGAGGAACCAGCAUGGAGGCCAAGAAGCAACAGUUAAAACCAAACACAGACCAACUGACUGGUUUAAGACUGGAAAAGGAGUAUGACAAGGUGGUAUGUUGUUCUGAUUUGGGCUGGGGGAAGAUACUCAGUCAAUCAGUAAAUCAAGUAUUUACUAAAUACCUACAAAGACAAAAAUGAAACACCCUUGUCCUGAAGGAUUUCACAUCCUAUUAAGGAUAUGUAUACAUACAUAUGAAUAAAAAUAAAAAAAAUACAUCCGAUUAAGUUGUU